rnacentral:lncRNA from 1 species
CUGCUACCGCGAGUUCUCCGAGGCCCCCAAGCCGGACAAUUUCUUGUCCUACAUCGGUGACAUGGCCAGCCUCCUCUCCGGUGCAUCCCUCACCGACAACGCAAACACGGGAGUUGUCAAGCUUGGAGAUGGUCGUGUGGUCUGCCUGACGGAGACCCAGAAGGGGUCCAUAGUGGUGGACCCCAAUAACCUAGACACGAUAGGGAAGUUUGAGUACACGGACUCGCUAGGUGGACUUAUCCACUCGGCCCACCCGAAAAGUAACGAUAAUAAUUAUAGAAGCAUCUCCAAUUGUUAGCAUUUGUAAGGUUUCAUAGCAUAUGCAACAUCAUGUUUCAAUAAACCCAUUUCCUAUUUAUAAACAUGUAAAAUGUUAUUUGAAAGAGCACUUUAACUUGUUUGUUAACGUACGUUUUAAAUUAAGUAAGAGAUUAAAACUUUGAAAAAGUACCACUAAGUAGAGAUGCUGACUAUAUAUAAGAUAAGUUGGAGAAGAUAAUGAUCCCAUAAUUAAAGAUUAAAUUACCAACUGCGAUGUUAACAAGAAUGGGAACAUGAAUAGAGGAUGGUGUUGUUCCAAGUAAGUUAAGAGUGAAGCAUAUCCAAACAUGCUAUUUUCGGCAUUCAAUAAUUAUAAUUGAUAUUUUUGGUUUCACAUGCAGAGUGGGACGUACCUUAGGAACGGACCAGGUCUAUGGCACCUAGGUGAUUACAACUUCCGCCACCUCUUCGACGGCUACGCGACACUCGCUAAGCUCCACUUCAAAGACGGCCGCCUGGUGUUCGGACACCGCCAAAUCGAGUCCGUUGCAUACAAGGCCGCCAAGAAGAACAACAAGCUCUGCUACCGCGAGUUCUCCGAGGCCCCCAAGCCGGACAAUUUCUUGUCCUACAUCGGUGACAUGGCCAGCCUCCUCUCCGGUGCAUCCCUCACCGACAACGCAAACACGGGAGUUGUCAAGCUUGGAGAUGGUCGUGUGGUCUGCCUGACGGAGACCCAGAAGGGGUCCAUAGUGGUGGACCCCAAUAACCUAGACACGAUAGGGAAGUUUGAGUACACGGACUCGCUAGGUGGACUUAUCCACUCGGCCCACCCGAUCGUGACCGACUCUGAGUUCCUGACCCUGCUGCCCGAUUUGAUCCGACCGGGUUACUUCGUAGUGAGGAUGGAAGCAGGGAG